CCCCUCUAGCUCAAUUGGCAGAGCAACGGACUCUUAAUCCGCAGGUUCUGGGUUCAAGUCCCAGGGGGGGUA
rnacentral:tRNA from 1 species